rnacentral:tRNA from 1 species
UCCUUCUUAGCUCAGUUGGUUAGAGCAUCUGACUGUUAAUCAGAGGGUCCAAGGUUCGAGUCCUUGAGAGGGAGCUA